rnacentral:lncRNA from 1 species
ACAACUUUCUCACACCCUCAGAUGUAGAAAUAUGGAUGUCAGGUAGGCAAAAACCCGUUGAACAUGUUGCCAUUUUCCUGCCAGUGCAAGAUUUCUCCUACUGACAACAAUUUAAAAUAGCCCAUUGAGAUUAAAUUAUGCAGCAUCAUAGGCACCAGUUUGAUUUCUGAAAACCUGUUAUUCCCAGAGAUACAUUUAUUAACUGAUAAAUAUUUGAUUGUUGUAUUAAAGAAAUUUGGGGAAACACCUGGGUCUCCACAGUUUCUAACAUCAAAGGCAGCGCUCUGUCAAACCCACAUGAUCCUAAAAGCAGAGGUCCUGUAGAGCAGGGGAUGAGAGGAGGCCAGUCCCAGGGAGCAUGGAAACCUCAGCAGGUGAGUCACCUGGGGAGAGAGAAGCAGCUCUCUCUUCACGUGACUUAUCUUACAAGCAAGUGAAACCCUUUCAAAAUGACUGACUUUGAAUUUCAAUAUAUUUUCCUCUUGUCCUCCUUUCUAAUGGUCCUUUCACACCUGUGGGCCUCUCAUAGGGGAAGGGAGUGGAUAUUUGCUUUCUGGGCUGUUUUACUCCAUCCUGGCUGCUCGGGAUGCCGCAGGCAGUGAUGCAGAAGGUCAAGUGAAGACACUGCAAGGAAAGAGUCAUUUGAGGAAUCUGAAGGAGAGAAAGCUGGUGACAGCAGUAGUGAGAUACCUGACCUGUUCCAGGAUUACAAAAGCCCAUGGUCCUGUUAUAUGACAGAGGUCAGAAUUUACUGACACUGGUGGUAGCUGCUAUAGAGAACAAAGCACUAAGCCUUACCUCCAGGACUGACCAGUACAGAAGGAGGCAGAAUGCCAGCAUUUACCAAUGUUUUGGACCUCAACAUCCCCUGGUGCCUGAGCUGGGACUCACAAUGGACAGAAAGACUUCUUUAGAUUUUUCACACAAAGACCAUUAGUGAGCACUCCUCCCACAUUCCUCUCACACCUCUGGAAACUUGGCCUAUGGAAAUUUUGCAGCAAUCAUAAUGAAGGUAUAUAUGACUAGAGUCAUUCCCACUCCACCUGAAUGGUAAAAAAUAGUACAAAGAUGGCUUAAGAAUGGCAAGAUAUUAGAGAAGAUACCAUCACAGACAAAUGAGGAAAACACCAUCAUGAAUCAUCACUGACUCCUGGGGCCAGUCAAUGGGCUGAGAGCCUCGCUUCCUCCCCAUAAGUACACACAGCUAUACCCAGUACUUCCCCAGAAAACUUGGAAAUCUCUAUAUAGAGUUGGUUUAUACUACUAUAUUACUCAAGAUGUUUUAUGUUGCUAUAUUAUGUGCAUGUGUUUUGCAGACAGUGUAUUAUCACCAGCAAUCCAAAAGAAUCUGCAAUUCUGUUGCUUCAAUAAACUCUACUAUUCAUUAAUCUGUGGGAGUUCU